rnacentral:rRNA from 1 species
CCUACGGGAGGCAGCAGUGGGGAAUAUUGGACAAUGGGGGGAACCCUGAUGCAGCGACGCCGCGUGAGUGAAGAAGUUUUUCGGUAUGUAAAGCUCUGUCAGCAGGGAAGAAAGCAAUGACGGUACCUGACUACUAAGCCCCGGCUAACUACGUGCCAGCAGCCGCGGGAAUACGUAGGGGGAAAGCGUUAUCCGGAGUUACUGGGUGUAAAGGGAGCGUAGACGGCAGCGCAAGUCUUGGUGGAAAGCCCAUGGCUUAACCGUGGAACUGCUUUGGAAACUGUUAAGCUGGAGUGUAGGAGAGGUGAGUGGAAUUCCAGGUGUAGGAGUGAAAUCCGUAGAUAUUAGGAGGAACAUCAGUGGCGAAGGCGACUAACUGGAAUGUAACUGACGCUGAGGAGCGAAAGCGUGGGGAGCAAACAGGAUUAGAUACCCGAGUAGUC